rnacentral:rRNA from 1 species
UCCGUAGGCGGGUAAUUAAGUCAGAGGUGAAAUCCCACAGCUUAACUGUGGAACUGCCUUAGAUACUGGUUAUCUUGAGUUUUAGUGAAGUAGAUAGAAUGUGUAGUGUAGCGGUGAAAUGCAUAGAUAUUACACAGAAUACCGAUUGCGAAGGCAGUCUACUAACUAACAACUGACGCUAAUGGAUGAAAGCGUGGGGAGCGAACAGGAUUAGAUACCCUGGUAGUCC